rnacentral:rRNA from 1 species
UGGGGAAUAUUGCACAAUGGGCGCAAGCCUGAUGCAGCCAUGCCGCGUGUGUGAAGAAGGCCUUCGGGUUGUAAAGCACUUUCAGUCGUGAGGAAGGUAGUGUAGUUAAUAGCUGCAUUACUUGACGUUAGCGACAGAAGAAGCACCGGCUAACUCCGUGCCAGCAGCCGCGGUAAUACGGAGGGUGCGAGCGUUAAUCGGAAUUACUGGGCGUAAAGCGCAUGCAGGUGGUUUGUUAAGUCAGAUGUGAAAGCCCGGGGCUCAACCUCGGAAUAGCAUUUGAAACUGGCAGACUAGAGUACUGUAGAGGGGGGUAGAAUUUCAGGUGUAGCGGUGAAAUGCGUAGAGAUCUGAAGGAAUACCGGUGGCGAAGGCGGCCCCCUGGACAGAUACUGACACUCAGAUGCGAAAGCGUGGGGAGCAAACAGG